GUGGAUUAGAUACCCUGGUAGUCCACGCCGUAAACGAUGGAUGCUAGCCGUCGGCAAGCUUGCUUGUCGGUGGCGCAGCUAACGCAUUAAGCAUCCCGCCUGGGGAGUACGGCCGCAAGGUUAAAACUCAAAGGAAUUGACGGGGGCCCGCACAAGCGGUGGAGCAUGUGGUUUAAUUCGACGCAACGCGAAGAACCUUACCAGCUCUUGACAUGUCAGGUCGGUUUCCAGAAAUGGAUUCCUCCCAGCAAUGGGCCUGAACACAGGUGCUGCACGGUCGUCGUCUACU
rnacentral:rRNA from 1 species